UACGUAGGGGGCAAGCGUUGUCCGGAUUUAUUGGGCGUAAAGAGCGUGUAGGCGGCCAUACAGGUCAGCUGUGAAAACUCGAGGCUCAACCUCGAGACGUCGGUUGAAACCGUAUGGCUAGAGUCCGGAAGAGGAGAGUGGAAUUCCCGGUGUAGCGGUGAAAUGCGCAGAUAUCGGGAAGAACACCCGUGGCGAAGGCGGCGACCUGGUCCGAUACUGACGCUGAGGCGCGAAAGCGUGGGGAGCAAACAGG
rnacentral:rRNA from 1 species